GGCAGAUCACCAUGACUGAAGUGGUAGCAGGGAAGACUGUGACAAGCGCUGAAAGAAUCAAGGUCGUUGGGGCACUCUUGCAACAGGCCUUCUGGCACUAUGGCCUUCCGGAGGAUAUCGUCUCUGACCGUGGCCUGCAAUUCCUGUCACGAAUAUGGAAAGCCUUCAUGGAGAAGCUGGGGGUCAUGGUCAGUCUAACUUCCGGGUAUCGGCCUCAGUACUAUGGGCAGGUGGAUAGGAUGAACCAGGAACUGGGGAGGUUCCUUAGGAGUCACUGACAGGAUCGGCAGGGGGUGUGGGCCCAGUUAUUUCCCUGGGCGGAGUACGCCAAGAAUUCCCUACGUCACUCCUCCACUGGGCUGACCCCCAUCCAGUGUGUCCUGCAGUAUCAGCUGGCCCUGGAUCCGUGGACCCCGAGCCAGACCGAAGCUCCUACGGUGGACGAGUGGUUCAUGCACGCAGAGAAGGUUUGGAACAAUGCACACGUGAGGCUCCAGCAUGCUGUCCGCCGCCAGAAAGAUCAGACGGACCGCCACCUCAGUGAGGCUCCCGUGUUCCAUCCUGGUGAUCGCAUCUGGCUCUCCACCAGGAACCUCUCCCUCUGCCUGCCCUGUAGGAAGAUGAGCUUCUGGUUUGUGGGGGCCUUGAAGGUCCUCCUGGAGGGUGAAUGAGGUAACCUAUAAAUUACAACUCCCCACUAACUACCAAAUCUCACCCUCUUUUCAUGUUUUCCUCCUCAGGCCGGUGGUUCCUGGUUCCCCGCGACACCCCUCCAACUCCCCUGGACAUCGAUGGGAGCAAACGUCGUGGGGGACGGUCUCAGGACCUGGUGGACUGGAAAGGGUAAGGUCCAGAGGAGCGCUGGGGAUGGGUUACUGUUGCGCCUACUCCCCCUCUCCCGCUCCAGCACACGACGUCGCCAGUCUACUAACCACCGGUCCUGACGACCCACAUUACUCACACCUGGUAACCAUCAUUGUGCACACCUUCUCCCCAUCGUUACGCACACCUGGACUUCAUCACCCUGAUUACUCUCCCUUUAUUUAGCUCUCAGUAGCCUUAGUUUUCAGGCAGUAUUGGUUUUGUUUACGUUCAGUACGCUACUCUUGUUUUGAUUAUCUUCAUGUUUCUAGUUAUUAAACUCAUCUUCUGCACCUGCUUCCUAACUUCCUAACUACGUUACACAUUCAUUUGUGAAUGCAAUUUCCGAAAUGGAAUGGUUUAGGCCUAUUUAUUGUUUACGCUAAUUAUUCAAUGGUCACUUUAUUUUAUUUUAAGUCUAAAAUGCUUGAUUACUGUUAAAAUCAUGAAUGACUCAUAUACUGUGUGAUGACAUGAACAAAGAAAUUAUUGAUCCUUUAUUAUUAACUAGGCAAGUCAGUUAAGAGCAAAUUCUUAUUUACAAUGACAGCUGACAGUGGGUUAACUGCAUUGUUCAGGGGCAGAAGGACAGAUUUUUACCUUGUCAGCUCAGGGAUUUGAUCCAGCAGCCUUUCGGUUCCUGGCCGAACGCUCUAACCACUAGGCUACAUGCCACCCCACAAUUUAUACAGUAGGCUAUAUAAGGUAAUAUAGGCCUUAAUAAGUUACGGAAUUAAGACUAAACAGGAUGUGCUCUUAAGCCUACAGCUCGAUGGUGGUUAUAAAAGGCUGCUAUACUAAGCCUACUAAUGACAUUACUUAUUAUUAUAAUGAUCAUCAUUAUAACAAUAGUGUCACACCCUGACCUUAGAGAGCCGUUUUAUUCCUCCUGUGAUUUGGGGUGGGCAUUCUAUGUUGUCUAUUUCUUUGUUUUUGGCCGAGUAUGGUUCCCAAUCAGAGGCAGCUGUCUAUCGCUGUCUCUGAUUGGGGAUCAUACUUAGGCAGCCUUUUUUCCCACUUUCUGUUGUGGGAUCUUGUUUUUGUUAGUUGCUGGUUUAGCGCUACAUUACUUUACGUGUCGUAUAUCUUUCUUGUUUUUUGGGUUGUUCAUUUAAUAAAUAUAGAAUGUACGCCUACCACAUUGCACCUUGGUCUCCAUCUCUAAACGACCGUAAUAGAAGAUCCCACCACCAAAGGACCAAGCAGCGUGGUCAGGAGGAAUGGACCCAGGAGGAGAUCUUAGAUAGGAAAGGACCCUGGGUGCAGGCUGGAGAGUAUCGCCUUCCGAAGGAGGAGAUGGAGGCAGCUAAAGCGGAACGGCGACGUUACGAGGAGUUGGCUCAACGAAGCAAGCACAAGAGGCAACCCCCAAAAACAAAUUUGGGGGGAAGCACACGGGGAGUUUGACGAAGUUAGGGUUGAGACCUGAGCCAACUCCCUGUGUUUACCGUGGGGAGCGAGUGACUGGUCAAGCACCAUGUUAUCCGGUUCUGCGCACCAUGCCUUCGGUGCGAAAGCCACAGCCCAGUGCGCUCUCUGCAAGCUCCUCGCAGUUGCCGUGCUAGAGUGGGAAUUCAGCCAGGGGGGAUUGUGCUGGCUCAGCAUUCCUGGCCUUCGGUGCGUCUCUUUGGCCCAGGUUAUCCUGCACCAGCUCUACGCACGGUAUCCCCAGUUUGCCAGCACAACCCAGUGCGGCCUGCUCCAGCUCCCCGCAUUUGCCGGGCCACGGGGGGUAUCCAGCCAGGACGAGUUGUGCCAGCUCUGCGCUCCAGACCUCCGGUGCGCCUCCACGGUCCAGUGUGUCCAGCGCUGGCUCUACGCACUAUGCCUCCAGUGCGCCGUCAUAGCCCAGUGCAUCCGGUGCCAGCUCUCCACACUCACCGAGCUAGAGUGGGUAUCCAGCCAGGACGUGUUGUGGCAGCUCCACUCACUAGGCUGCCUGUACGUCUCCUCAGACCGGUGAGACCUGUUCCGGCUCCACGUAUGAAGCCUCCAGUGAUGAUCCAUGGCCCGGAGCCUCCAGUGAUGAUCCAUGGCACGAAGCCUGUAGUGGUAAUCCAUGGCACGAAGCCUCCAGUGAUGAUCCAUGGCCCAGAGCCUGUAGCGAUGUUCCAUGGCAAGGAGCCUGCAGUAACGGAUCCCAGUCCGGAGCCUGCAGCGACGGUCCCCAGUCCCAAGCCUCCAGCGACGGUCCGCAGUCCGGAGUCUCCAGCGAUGGUCCGCAGUCCAGAGUCUUCAGCAACAAGCUGCAGUCCAGAGCCUCCAGCGGGGGUUCCCAGUCCAGAGUCUCCAGCAAUGAUCUGCAGUCCGGAGCCUCCAGCGAUGUUUCCCAGUUCAGAGUCUCCAACGUAGAUCCACGGUCCGGUUCCACAGAAGCGAAGGGAUCAGCAUAGGGAGCGGGGGCUAUGUCCCGAACCGGAGCCGCCACCGAGGGUAGAUGCCCACCCGGACCCUCCCCUAUAGGUUCAGGUCUGCGGCCGGGAGUCCGCACCUUUGGGGGGGGGGAAUACUGUCACGCCCUGUCCUUGGGUUGUUCAUUUAAUAAAUUCAGAAUGUACGCCUACCACGCUGCACCUUGGUCUCCAUCUCUAAACGACCGUAGCAAAUAGUAAUAAUAAGAAGGAGAUCAAGGAAAACGGAGGGUCAUUAUUAUAAUUUUUUAAAUUCUGACCAUUUGGAACAGUGUAAACACUAAAUUAAUUAUAAAUAAUACCAGCUCUUGGGAGUUAUAGAAAUAACAACACUCAAAUAUAUUGGUUAUGCUUUGUAUUCUAAACUGUAUCAGACAUGCGUGUGUCCUGUUCUGGACUAUUCAGCAGGAGUGUGGGGUGCCAAGAGGUAUUUAAAAAAAUAAACAUGUCCAUAACAGAGCAAUACAUGACUGUUAAUAUGCCUUGUCUACUGUUGUUUUGGUUAGUUCUUAUUGUUUUAUUUCACUGUAGACCCCCCAGUCCCCCUCAACAUGCCUUAGAUAGCUCUUUUGCCUCACGCAUGAGGAGACCUCACCUGGCUUAACUAGUGCCUCCAGAGAUGUAACCUCUCUCAUUGUUACUCAAUGCCUAGGUGUUAACUCCACUGUACUCACAUCCUACCAUACUCUUGUCUGUACAUUAUACCCUGAAUCUAUUCUACCACGCCCAGAAAUCUGCGUCUUUUAUUCUCUGUUCCCAAUGCACUAGACGACCAGUUCUUAUAGCCUUUAGCUGUACCCUUAUCCUAAUCCUCCUCUGUUCCUCUGGUGAUGCAGAGGUUAACCCAGGCCCUGUAGCCCCCAGUACUACACCUAUUCCCCAGGCGCUCUCAUUUGUUGACUUCUGUAACCAUAAAAGCCUUGGUUUCAUGCAUGCUCCAGGUCAUCUAUAAGUCUUUGCUAGGUAAAGCCCCGCCUUAUCUCAGCUCACUGGUCACCAUAGCAACACCCACCCGUAGCAAGCGAUCCAGCAGGAAUAUUUCACUGGUCAUCCCCAAAGCCAACACUUCCUUUGCCCCCCUUUCCUUCCAGUUCUCUGCUGCAAAUGACUGGAACGAAUUGCAUAAGUCACUGAAGCUGGAGACAUAUCUCCCUCACUAACUAUAAGCAUUAGCUGUCAGAGCAGCUUACCGAUCACUGCAAGUGUACACAGCCCAUCUGUAAAUAGCCCACCCAACUACCUCAUCCCCAUAUUGUUAUUUUUUGCUCUUUUGCACCCCAGAAUUUCUACUUGCACAUCAUCAUCUGCAUAUCUGUCACUCCAGUGUUAAUGCUAAAUUGUAAUUAUUUUGCCACUAUGGCAUAUUUAUUGCCUUAUCUCCUUAAUCUUCUACAUUUGCACACACUGUUCAUAGAUUUUUCUAUUGUGUUAUUGACUGUACGUUUGUUUAUUCCAUGUAUAACUCUGUGUUGUUGUUUUUGUCGCACUGCUUUGCUUUAACUUGGCCAGGUCGCAGUUUUAAAUUAAAACUUGUUCUCAACUGGCCUACCUGGUUAAAUAAAGGUGAAAUAAUAAAAAAAAGCCUUUGUUUUUUUUCUUCCCAUAUUUAUUUAUUUUACCUUUAUUUAACUAGGCAAGUCAGAUAAGAACAAAUUCAUAUUUUCAAUCACGGCCUAGGAACAGUGGGUUAACUUCCUUGUUCUGUGGAGAACGACAGAUUUUUACCUUGUCAGCUCAGGGAUACAAUCUUGCAACCUUUACGGUUACUAGUCCAACGCUCUAGCCACUAGGCUGCGUGCAUGCGUGCACUACCAUUCAAAAGUUUGGGGUCACUUUGAAAAAGCACAUUUUUGGUCUAUUAAAAUAACAUAAAAUUGAUCAGAAAUACAGUGUAGACAUUGUACAAUGUAAAUGACUAUUGUAGCAGGAAACGGCUGAUUAAAAAAAGGUUGAAUAUCUACGUAGGCGUACAGAGGCCCAGAAACAAAGUACUUUCUUCUGAAACUAAUCAGUCUAUUCUUGUUCUGAGAAAUUAAUGCUAUUCUAUGUGAGAAAUUGCCAAGAAACUGAAGAUCUUGUACAAUGCUGUGCACUACUCCCUUCACAGAACAGCGCAAACUGAAUAGAAAGAGGGGCAGAAAGAGUUGCCGGAGGCCCAGGUGCACAUCUGAGCAAGAGCACAAGUACAUUAAAGUAGUCUAGUUUGAGAUACAGACGCCUCACAAGUCCUCAACUAGCAGCUUCAAUAAAUAGUACCUGCAAAACACAAGUCUCGACGUCGACAGUGAAGAGGCGACUCCGGGAUGCUGGCCUUCUAGGCAGAGUUCCCCUGACCUGUGUCUGUGUUCUUUUGCUCAUCUUGAUCUUUUCUUUUCAUUGGCCGUUCUGAGAGUUGGCUUUUAUUUUGCAUCUCUGCCUAGAAGGCCAGCAUCCCGGAGUCGCCUCUUUAAAUCAAAUCAAAUCAAAGUUUGUUUGUCACAUGCGCUGAAUACAACAGGUGUAGUAGACCUUACAGUGAAAUGUUUACUUACAGGCUCUAUCCAAUAGUGCAAAAAAGGUAUUAGGUGAACAAUAGGUGGGUAAAGAAAUAAAACAACAGUAAAAAGACAGGCUAUAUACAAUAGCGAGACUAUAAAAGUAGCGAGGCUACAUACAGACACCGGUAAGUCAGGCUGAUUGAGGUAGUAUGUACAUGUAGAUAUGGUUAAAGUGACGAUGCAUAUAUGAUGAACAGAGAAUAGCAGUAGCGUAAAAGAGGGGUUGGCG
ensembl:lncRNA